rnacentral:rRNA from 1 species
GUUACUGGACANUUACUGACGCUGAGGCUCGAAGGCCAGGGGAGCAAAAGGGAUUAGAUACCCCUGUAGUCCUGGCAGUAAACGGUGCACGCUUGGUUUGAGGGGAAUCGACCCCCUUCGAGCCGGAGCUAACGCGUUAAGCGUGCCGCCUGGGAAGUACGGUCGCAAGACUAAAACUCAAAGAAAUUGACGGGGACCCGCACAAGCGGUGGAGUAUGUGGCUUAAUUCGAUGCAACGCGAAGAACCUUACCUAGGCUUGACAUGCAUUUCUAAAUACGUGAAAGCGUAUGACUCUUCGGAGGACUUGCACAGGUGCUGCAUGGCCGUCGUCAGCUCGUGUCGUGAGAUGUUGGGUUAAGUCCCGCAACGAGCGCAACCCCUGUGAUUAGUUACCAGCGCGUGAUGGCGGGGACUCUAAUCAGACUGCCCAGAUCAACUGGGAGGAAGGUGGGGACGACGUCAGGUCAGUAUGGCCCUUACGCCUAGGGCUGCACACGUACUACAAUGCCCAGCACAAUGAGAACCGAGACCGCGAGGUGGAGGAAAUCUACAAAACUGGGCUCAGUUCGGAUUGGAGGCUGCAACUCGCCUCCAUGAAGCUGGAAUCGCUAGUAAUGGCACAUCAGCUACGGUGCCGUGAAUACGUUCCCGGGUCUUGUACACACCGCCCGUCACAUCAUGGAAGUCGGUCGCACCCGAAGUACACGCGCCAACCGCAAGGAGGCAGUGUCCUAAGGUGUAGCUGGUAACUGGGAUGAAGUCGUAACAAGGUAACCAAGGGCGAA